AGAGUUUGAUCCUGGCUCAGGACGAACGCUGGCGGCGUGCCUAAUACAUGCAAGUCGAACGGUCUUUUCUAUGGAAGCUUGCUUCCACUGAGAAGAUAGUGGCGAACGGGUGAGUAACACGUGGGUAACCUGCCCAUAAGAGGGGGAUAACAUCCGGAAACGGGUGCUAAUACCGCAUAGUUUUCUUGGUCGCAUGAUCGAGAAAGGAAAGACGGCCUUUGUGCUGUCGCUUAUGGAUGGACCCGCGGCGUAUUAGUUAGUUGGUGAGGUAAUGGCUCACCAAGACGAUGAUACGUAGCCGACCUGAGAGGGUGAUCGGCCACAUUGGGACUGAGACACGGCCCAAACUCCUACGGGAGGCAGCAGUAGGGAAUCUUCCGCAAUGGACGAAAGUCUGACGGAGCAACGCCGCGUGAGUGAAGAAGGUUUUCGGAUCGUAAAACUCUGUUGUCAGAGAAGAACAAGUCGGAGAGUAACUGCUCCGGCCUUGACGGUAUCUGACCAGAAAGCCACGGCUAACUACGUGCCAGCAGCCGCGGUAAUACGUAGGUGGCAAGCGUUGUCCGGAUUUAUUGGGCGUAAAGCGAGCGCAGGCGGUYCYUUAAGUCUGAUGUGAAAGCCCACGGCUCAACCGUGGAAGGUCAUUGGAAACUGGGGAACUUGAGUGCAGAAGAAGAGAGUGGAAUUCCAUGUGUAGCGGUGAAUGCGUAGAUAUAUGGAGGAACACCAGUGGCGAAGCGACUCUCUGGUCUGUACUGA
rnacentral:rRNA from 1 species